rnacentral:tRNA from 1 species
AUUUAAAUAACUUAAGUUUAAAAGUAUAGUAGUGAAGAUACUAAGAUGACUUUAUAGUCUUUGAAUA